GUUUGAGGACUGUAGGAGUAGUGGAAGGGGGAAAGAGAAGCAGAGGGGGCUGAAAGUCCUCCUCGGAGCAGAGCAGGCCAGAGUGAGCUGGCUGAAAGAGGGGGCGGAGUGCGCGAGUCACCGCCGCCGCAGCAGCUGCAGCCACUGCGACGUCUGGGCCGAGCCCAGCGGGGCGGGAGGGACGCGCAGGGCAGCCGCCGCCGUCGUCAGGCCACCGGUGCGCGAUGCGGCCGCCGCCCGGGCCUUGCUAACUUUCUGGGUCGGAAGCGCAGAAGGAGGAAGGGGCUCUGAGCAAUUGGGUGGGGGGAUGCCGAGAAGCAGUCAGCUCCCUGCACCCUAACAGGCCUCGCUCGGUGCGCCCCGCGGGCGGCGCGCGGGCGGCGGCGCGGCCCAUGUCCGGCGCGGGCGAAGCCCUCGCUCCCGGGCCCGCGGGGCCGCAGCGCUCGGCCGAGGCGGGCGGCGGCCGGCUGGGCUCCCCGGCCCAGGGUGAGUGCGCGCUCGCGCGUGGCGGGCUUCUUUCAUGCUUGCGUUGAGAAAUUUGCUCCCACUCGUACGGAUGGGGGUGGGUGGCUGGGUGCUGUGAGGACGGCUUCCCACCUCGUAGUUGGGAACUUUUGCCCACUUCGCGGUACUCAAGCAAGUUUGCUCAGGAUUCCUGUCCCAGAUCAACAACCGGAUAGGAGGGCGGGAUGGGCUGGUCCCUCCACUCCCCCUUCCUUUGGUUGCGGAGAAACUGGAUGACAGGAUGGCUUCCUCCUUGAACACAUGCAUUGCUGGGCCUGGGACUUGGAUGUGUGGGUUCCUUCUCUAGGUCUUUGCAGUUCGUGUGCUGUCCUCAGAUACAGGACUGCCGUUGCUCUCUGCGCAGCGGGGAGCUCUCCUUUUCAUCUCUCUGUCUUGUGGGCUACUCUGCCAGCUCCCGUUGAUAAUCCCGGUUUCUGUGACCAAUUACUUUGGAAUGGGUCAUGCAUAUGUUUUCAAUAACUGUUUUGAAAUAAACGUUUUUAACGAAACA
rnacentral:lncRNA from 1 species